UACGUAGGGGGCAAGCGUUGUUCGGAAUUACUGGGCGUAAAGGGCGCGUAGGCGGCCACGCACGUCCGUUGUGAAAUCGCCCGGCUCAACUGGGCGGGGUCAGCGGAUACGGUGUGGCUCGAGCAAGCUAGGGGGCAAUGGAAUUCCCGGUGUAGUGGUGGAAUGCGUAGAUAUCGGGAGGAACACCAGUGGCGAAGGCGGUUGCCUGGAGCUUUGCUGACGCUGAGGCGCGAAAGCGUGGGGAGCGAUCCGG
rnacentral:rRNA from 1 species